UGCUUUGCACAGUAGCAGUGCCAUAGCCAAUGAGGUUUAUCUGAGGUGUGAUCAUUGCUAAUUGAAAACUCUCCCCCAAAUAUCAAGAUCUAAUAAAUAAAUUUCAUAGGAAAAGCUACUUGGUAACCAAAAGUUUGUGGCUGUCUGAUGCAAAUACUGUGGUAGUUAUAUUUUCUUGUUUUUAAUUUUUAGCAUUUGGGUUGCUAU
ensembl:snRNA U4 U4 spliceosomal RNA